rnacentral:rRNA from 1 species
UACGAAGGGGGCUAGCGUUGCUCGGAAUCACUGGGCGUAAAGGGUGCGUAGGCGGGUUUUUAAGUCAGGGGUGAAAUCCUGGAGCUCAACUCCAGAACUGCCUUUGAUACUGAAGAUCUUUGAGUCCGGGAGAGGUGAGUGGAACUGCGAGUGUAGAGGUGAAAUUCGUAGAUAUUCGCAAGAACACCAGUGGCGAAGGCGGCUCACUGGCCCGAUACUGACGCUGAGGUGCGGAAGCGUGGGGAGCAAACAGGG